rnacentral:rRNA from 1 species
GACGAACGCUGGCGGCGUGCUUAACACAUGCAAGUCGAACGGAAAGGCCCUGCUUGUGUGGGGUGCUCGAGUGGCGAACGGGUGAGUAACACGUGAGUAACCUGCCCUUGACUUUGGGAUAACUUCAGGAAACUGGGGCUAAUACCGGAUAGGAGCUCCGGCUGCAUGGUGGGGGUUGGAAAGUUUCGGCGGUUGGGGAUGGACUCGCGGCUUAUCAGCUUGUUGGUGGGGUAGUGGCUUACCAAGGCUUUGACGGGUAGCCGGCCUGAGAGGGUGACCGGCCACAUUGGGACUGAGAUACGGCCCAGACUCCUACGGGAGGCAGCAGUGGGGAAUAUUGCACAAUGGGCGGAAGCCUGAUGCAGCAACGCCGCGUGCGGGAUGACGGCCUUCGGGUUGUAAACCGCUUUCGCCUGUGACGAAGCGUGAGUGACGGUAAUGGGUAAAGAAGCACCGGCUAACUACGUG